GACGAACGCUGGCGGCGUGCUUAACACAUGCAAGUCGAACGGAAAGGCCCUGCUUUUGUGGGGUGCUCGAGUGGCGAACGGGUGAGUAACACGUGAGUAACCUGCCCUUGACUUUGGGAUAACUUCAGGAAACUGGGGCUAAUACCGGAUAGGAGCUCCUGCUGCAUGGUGGGGGUUGGAAAGUUUCGGCGGUUGGGGAUGGACUCGCGGCUUAUCAGCUUGUUGGUGGGGUAGUGGCUUACCAAGGCUUUGACGGGUAGCCGGCCUGAGAGGGUGACCGGCCACAUUGGGACUAAGAUACGGCCCAGACUCCUACGGGAGGCAACAGUGGGGAAUAUUGCACAAUGGGCGGAAGCCUGAUGCAGCAACGCCGCGUGCGGGAUGACGGCCUUCGGGUUGUAAACCGCUUUCGCCUGUGACGAAGCGUGAGUGACGGUAAUGGGUAAAGAAGCACCGGCUAACUACGU
rnacentral:rRNA from 1 species